UGCACUGGAAGUAAUGGCUGACCUGUUU
rnacentral:piRNA from 1 species